rnacentral:rRNA from 1 species
CGAACGCUGGCGGCGUGCUUAAUACAUGCAAGUCGAACGAGGGCCCGGUGCUUGCACCGGAGACCCGAGUGGCGAACGGGUGAGUAACACGUGACCAACCUGUCCAAGGAUGAGGGACAACCCGGGGAAACCUGGGCUAAUACCGCAUGAUGUCACACUUCCGCAUGGUCGUGUGAUCAAAGGGGGCCUCUUCUUGAAAGCUCCCGUCCAUGGAGGGGGUCGCGACGUAUCAGCUAGUUGGUGGGGUAAUGGCCCACCAAGGCUACGACGCGUAGCGGAUCUGAGAGGAUGAUCCGUCACAUUGGGACUGAGAUACGGCCCAGACUCCUACGGGAGGCAGCAGUAGGGAAUAUUGCGCAAUGGACGAAAGUCUGACGCAGCGACGCCGCGUGUGGGAGGAAGCCUUUCGGGGUGUAAACCACUGUCAGAGGGGAAGAACCGCGCCAUUUCGAAUAGGCUUGGCGCCUGACGGUACCCUCAGAGGAAGCGCCGGCUAACUCC